rnacentral:rRNA from 1 species
UACGUAGGGUGCAAGCGUUAAUCGGAAUUACUGGGCGUAAAGCGUGCGCAGGCGGUGAUGUAAGACAGUUGUGAAAUCCCCGGGCUCAACCUGGGAACUGCAUCUGUGACUGCAUCGCUGGAGUGCGGCAGAGGGGGAUGGAAUUCCGCGUGUAGCAGUGAAAUGCGUAGAUAUGUGGAGGAACACCGAUGGCGAAGGCAGCCCCCUGGGAUAACACUGACGCUCAUGCACGAAAGCGUGGGGAGCAAACAGG